UAGUCAGAGGGCCAAGGCUAUGCUUU
rnacentral:piRNA from 1 species